GAGUGCCUUUAAAAGCACAGCAAACGGCUGCGUAACACGUUGGAACCUGCCCCGAACUCAGGGAUAAUCCGCCGAAAGGCGGACUAAUACCGGAUAGUCCCGAAAGGGUAAAGAUUUAUCGGUUUGGGAGGGGCCUGCGGCCUAUCAGCUAGUUGGUGAGGUAAUGGCUCACCAAGGCAAUGACGGGUAGCUGGUCUGAGAGGACGACCAGCCAGAAUGGGACUGAGACACGGCCCAUACUCC
rnacentral:rRNA from 1 species